AGUCGAUUUUUGCUUAUGGGAGGCAGUCAUGUGUUGUUAGUAAACGCUAUCGCAAGCUAAAAUUCGCUUUUGGAAAUUAAUUUCUCAUUACAAAUCACAUAAAAAUACUAUCAACUGUUUUAAUUGAAACGGCAUGUUGCUAUUAAGUUAAAGCAUUGUAAUUUACAAAGAAGUGCACUUACAUCGGUCGUGAUGGGUCGUUUCCUGACACCGGAUAAAUUGGCCGGGUUCGAAAAAUACAAGUAUAAUUCCAUCGAUACUAGUGUGCUCAGUAACUAUGUUAUGCACCCAUUUUGGAAUUGGUGUGUUCAGUUUUGUCCGGUGUGGGUGGCACCAAACCUGCUAACAUUUGCUGGGUUCCUACUGACCGUUUUUAACUUCCUCCUAUUCUCGUACUACGACUAUGGGUUUCACGCCCUUACUGAAGAGAAUGUCACUAACGAUCACAUUCCUUCGUGGGUGUGGGCUGUGUCCGCUGUGAACUUAUUCGUGGCAUAUACUCUAGACGGCAUCGACGGCAAGCAAGCCCGCAGGACAGGCACUAGCGGGCCGCUGGGCGAGCUCUUUGACCACGGCCUCGACUCGUACUCGUCCGUGCUCAUACCCACUUGUUUGUACAGCAUAUUUGGAAGAGAUGAGUUAAGCCCACUCCGGUUUUUUUUUGUGAUAUGGAACAUAUUCAUAAACUUUUAUCUCACGCACUGGGAGAAAUACAACACUGGGGUGAUGUUCCUGCCUUGGGGAUAUGACUUCACCAUGAUUGGGUCGUGCUGCCUGCUGCUAACGACAUCUGUCAUCGGGCCUAAGGCGUGGCACGUGUCGCUGCCGGGAGGACUCAGCCCUGGGAUCGUGUUCGAGUUCGUGCUUUACUUCUCCGCCAUGAUCACCAGCCAGACCGUCAUCCUGUGGAAUAUUUACAAGUCGUACCGCGACGGCACGGGCAAGAUGCGUCCGUUCUCGGAGGCGGUGCGGCCGCUGGUGCCGGUGCUGCUGUUCUUCGCGCUCAGCAGCGCGUGGGCGCUGUACUCGCCCACCGACAUCAUCAACCGCGGCCCCAGGCUGUUCUAUCUACUCACCGGAACUAUAUUCUCGAAUAUCAACUGCCGUCUGAUCGUGUCCCAGAUGAGCGACACGCGAUGCGAGCUGUUCAACGGGCUGCUGGUCCCGUACGCGCUGGUGCUGGCGCUGGUGCUGUGCGUGCAGGUGUCGCCCAUGAGCGAGCUGCUGCUGCUGGCGGCGCUGUGCGCGGGCUGCUCCGCCGCGCACGUGUACUACGGCUCCCGCGUGGUGAGUACGGGCCGGUGCUGUGCGUCAGGUGUCGCCCAUGAGCGAGCUGCUGCUGCUGGCGGCGCUGUGCGCGGGCUGCUCCGCCGCGCACGUGUACUACGGCUCCCGCGUGGUGAGUACGGGCCGGUGCUGUGCGUCAGGUGUCGCCCAUGAGCGAGCUGCUGCUGCUGGCGGCGCUGUGCGCGGGCUGCUCCGCCGCGCACGUGUACUACGGCUCCCGCGUGGUGAGUACGGGCCGGUGCUGUGCGUCAGGUGUCGCCCAUGAGCGAGCUGCUGCUGCUGGCGGCGCUGUGCGCGGGCUGCUCCGCCGCGCACGUGUACUACGGCUCCCGCGUGGUGAGUACGGGCCGGUGCUGUGCGUCAGGUGUCGCCCAUGAGCGAGCUGCUGCUGCUGGCGGCGCUGUGCGCGGGCUGCUCCGCCGCGCACGUGUACUACGGCUCCCGCGUGGUGAGUACGGGCCGGUGCUGUGCGUCAGGUGUCGCCCAUGAGCGAGCUGCUGCUGCUGGCGGCGCUGUGCGCGGGCUGCUCCGCCGCGCACGUGUACUACGGCUCCCGCGUGGUGAGUACGGGCCGGUGCUGUGCGUCAGGUGUCGCCCAUGAGCGAGCUGCUGCUGCUGGCGGCGCUGUGCGCGGGCUGCUCCGCCGCGCACGUGUACUACGGCUCCCGCGUGGUACAAGAGAUGUGCGAUCAUUUCAACAUACAGUGUUUCCAUAUAAAGCCAAAGGUAACAUAAGUAUCGUAGAUUGUAUGAUGUUAUUUAGAACUCUCUUAUUCUUAUAACUUGUACUGUGUAUUGACUUUCUCCAUUUUAUCCCUACUUCGGUAGCCACAUAUACCUCAGAUUUAUUUUAAUUUAGGUAAUUUAUUGUUAACGUGGUUUUGGCGGUGAGGGUAUGAAUCUCAUUCAUAAUAUAUUUUAAGGGUAUGUGUGCGAUAGAGUUAAUCAAUAUUUUUUAUUGGCAGCUGUAUAAGCUAAUUAAUUAGUCAAAAACGCUGCUAUCAUUCGAGUGGACCUCGACGUAGCUGAAUGUAUUCAAUAUAUUCUUAAAGAUUACAGAUCUACAAUUAUAUUUGCUCAUUUAAUUUUAAUGUUUAAUAAGGUUCGGUUAGGUAAUACUUCUUCCAAAUAUUAUUUUGUAACUAAAUAGGAGUAGGUUUAAUAUAAAUCAAAAACUGCCGUAUCUAACGAGUUUUGUGGAUUUUAUACAUUUAUUUAUGUUUAUUUACACAACUGAUUUGUUAUUAUUUAUUUUUAAUUUAGUUAAAUGAAUUUUAAAUCUUGUAAAUUGGUAGUAGUUGCCCUUUAGCAGGCUAAUACCCAAAUUAUGCGUGAUAUACUAUACCAUAUCUACAACUCUAAAAUUUCCAGUGGUUAGAAUAAUAAGAUUAUUUCCUAUUUUAUAAAACUGGUGUUACUAGUAAAACUAGUCAUGUUUUUUAAUAUUAUUGCCAUUUUUGCCAUAAGUAAUUGAUAUUAAAUAUCUGAAACCAAAUGUAAUGUUAUAAUAUUAUGACAAACAAUUUUAGUCAAUUUCUAUUCAAAAUCUGUAUUUUGGUAGAUUGUUGAUAUUUUAUACAAUUUUGAUCUAACAUACUAUGACAGUUAUUUACUAUUUGUAUAUUUCUCAUCAAUAUUGUAUACUGUAUAUUUUGGAAUAACUCUUUUGUCUGAUUUGAUAGUAAUAUAAUUUUAAAUAAUUAAGUGACCAGUAAUAUUUUGAAAUAUUUGUUGUUUGUGAUUUACCUUAGUAACGGUUAUGGGCCUGUUUCACCUUCCAAAAUUACAACUCGAAUAUGUUACAAAAUUGGUUUGAAAACAAAUAGGUGUCACGUACAAAUCAUGCUAAAAUGAAAACACGCUUAUCUUCGCAGCGUCCUUAUUUCAAAGCAGGGAUGUUUCCGCACACAUUUUCCUAUUGACUCCAAACUAAAUACAAAA